rnacentral:lncRNA from 1 species
AAUCACCCCCAAAAACCUCGAAACGGACUUCAUCCAAGACCACGAACACACAGAAACAUGAUCGGAUCGUCAUCGAGGCUCUGAUACCAUGUUAACAUCAAGAUUGAACCGAUGAAUCAUAGAAAUUAUAGAGAGAGAAAGUAGAGAGAAGGAGGAGAGUAGGUGAGAAGUCUCUCGAAUGUCAGAGAGAGUUUGUAUAUUAUAGAGAGAGAAAGUAGAGAGAAGGAGGAGAGUAGGUGAGAAGUCUCUCGAAUGUCAGAGAGAAUUUGUAUUAAACCGAGAAGCCAAAAUAAA